UUGCGAUCGUCCAGUCGGCGUGGCAUGGCUUGGCUUGGCUUGGCCGACGGCGCGUGACGACGUCGAAGGAAGAAGACACGCGCGGCCGCCACGCCACCCGGUGAAGAAGAGAGAGAUGUUUUUCCGGAGCAAACGUCUGAGCGAGCCCGUCCGAGAGGCACGCGCUCGCGUCAUGAUUACCUUACGACGGUGUCCAGCGUAUUCUGACUGGCGAGGCCGCGACACGCCCGCCGUGCUGUGCUGGUGCCCGCGUGCGGCCGCGAGUUGUUGACGCGGGCACCGUGUCAACAGGCCAUGGAUCAAUCGGCGGACCGAGAGAGUCGCCGAAGUCGACCACCCUCGGAGCAGCUUGUGGAUCUGCACGUGUACAUUGUUCCCGAGGAAAGAUGGCUGCGAAAGCGGAAGUUGGCUCGGAACCACGUGGUGGACUACGCCAUAUCCGCCGGAUUCAUACGAGUUCUGCCCACUGCCCGCCUGGCGGACGUGCGGAGGGAGAUCGACCGGCAGCUGGGCCACGACG